rnacentral:snRNA from 1 species
GUGCUUGCUCAGGCAGCACAUAUGAUAAAUUGGAAUCAAUACAGAGAAGAUUAGCAUUGCCCCUGUAAAAGGAGGACACACAGAUUUGGGGGCGGGGUCUUGUACCCUU